rnacentral:rRNA from 1 species
UACAGAGGGGGCAAGCGUUGUUCGGACUUACUGGGCGUAAAGGGCGCGUAGGCGGCUUGUUAAGUCGAACGUGAAAUCCCCGGGCUCAACCCGGGAACUGCGUCCGAUACUGGCAGGCUUGAAUCCGGGAGAGGGAUGCGGAAUUCCAGGUGUAGCGGUGAAAUGCGUAGAUAUCUGGAGGAAGACCGGUGGCGAAGGCGGCAUCCUGGACCGGUAUUGACGCUGAGGAGCGAAAGCGUGGGGAGCGAACAGG